GGGGGAGGCCGGAUCCUGGGCUGUGUCCCGGCGCCCUGUGCUCCGGGGCCUGCGCUGUUGGAUUCGCGCUCCCGGGCCGCGCAAACCCCU
rfam:Canis lupus familiaris chromosome 15, whole genome shotgun sequence.